AUUGAACGCUGGCGGCAGGCCUAACACAUGCAAGUCGAACGGUAGCACAGAGAGCUUGCUCUCGGGUGACGAGUGGCGGACGGGUGAGUAAUGUCUGGGAAACUGCCUGAUGGAGGGGGAUAACUACUGGAAACGGUAGCUAAUACCGCAUAACGUCGCAAGACCAAAGAGGGGGACCUUCGGGCCUCUUGCCAUCAGAUGUGCCCAGAUGGGAUUAGCUAGUAGGUGGGGUAACGGCUCACCUAGGCGACGAUCCCUAGCUGGUCUGAGAGGAUGACCAGCCACACUGGAACUGAGACACGGACCAGACUCCUACGGGAGGCAGCAGUGGGGAAUAUUGCACAAUGGGCGCAAGCCUGAUGCAGCCAUGCCGCGUGUAUGAAGAAGUCCUUCGGGUUGUAAAGUACUUUCAGCGGGGAGGAAGGCGAUAAGGUUAAUAACCUUGUCGAUUGACGUUACCCGCAGAAGAAGCACCGGCUAACUCCGUGCCAGCAGCCGCCGUAAAAC
rnacentral:rRNA from 1 species